rnacentral:rRNA from 1 species
CUUGUAGGUGGCCAACUAAGUCAGACGUGAAAUCCCUCGGCUUAACCGGGGAACUGCGUCUGAUACUGGAUGGCUGGAGUGUGGGAGAGGGAUGCGGAAUUCCAGGUGUAGCGGUGAAAUGCGUAGAUAUCUGGAGGAACACCGGUGGCGAAGGCGGCAUCCUGGACCAUUACUGACACUGAAAAGACGAAAAGCCAGGGAGCAAAC